rnacentral:lncRNA from 1 species
AUUUUUACAAUGGUUACUUCUUCAUUCAUCUCCUUCCCAUCACUUCUUCCAACUAAGCCCUUACCAAUUCAUCACCAAAAUCAAUAUCAUUACACCAUAUCACGUGUUUGUUUCUUUUUCUGGAUAGGGGACCUUAAAGUUUAUUACAAGUUGGUUAGUAUAAACUAGAGGAAGAUUGACUGAGGAGUUAGAUUUUAAGUUUUAAGUUCAUUGUUAGCAGUAUUUUUUGGUUCUUAAAUUGAUAUUAAUACAGAUACUUGAUUGGCACUUUCUUUUAAGGUCAAUUUUCCUUUUGGUUGUCAAUUGGUUUCAAUCUACGACCAGUAACUUAGUGUGUACGUCUUUGUUAGAACUUUUAAGUUAUUUGAGUACUUUAGAUGUAUGAUGUUGCUGUUUAUAUAUGGAUUCUUCAGAGUAUGAUGGAAAUUAAAUUCAUUAUCAUCAUCUUUUUCGGUUUUGGUUUUGGUUUUUUUAUAUUAUUUUUUAAACUACUGUUGAUUAUUAUUAUUUUGCUGCAAGGGUUGUUGGAAGUGUUGUACAUCCUAAAUUCAAAGUUAGAUUUCAGGCUCGUUUUGAUUUAUAUUAUUCUUAUAUUGCGGUAAUCUCUAUUUGAUAUGUAUGAGUGUUGUAAUUUAUUAUAAAUUAGAUGUAAUUUGUUGCAUUUUGAUGUUAUUAUAAUGUGUUUGGUUAUUUUGCUUUUUAUUGUUUGUAGAUAUUUGUUGAUUCAUUUUGUUACUUUGUGAUUUGUUUUGUGUUCAAUAAGUUGAAAGAGAAAUGGAUUAGGAAGUUGGGAUGUUUUCUUUAAUUGUUGAAAGGUUUGAAAAUAUUAAGGUUUUUUUUUUGGCGAAAGAAAGGAUAAAAGUUUAAUGAAUGAGGUAAAAGAAAUUCCAUCACUUAAAGAGGUCUUGAAUAUAUUUUUGUUGAGGGAAAAAUAAUAUAAUAUAUUUAUUUGCUAAUUGAAACCACUUGAAUAAUGACCAUAAUGUAUUCUAGAAAAUAUAGUUAACACAUCCACUAUAUUAUACAAGAUUUUAGUAUUCAUUAAAAAGAACUUACUUAGCUUAAGUUAUAAUUUUAUUUGUAACGCCCCAAAAUUCUUAUUUUUAUUAUUGUGAAAAUGUGACACAAUUCUGUAUCUACUUCAGUGGUUAAGUGUUCUGGGUGUGUGUGAGAGGUCCCAAGUUAAAGCCAUGUCUUUGGCAAAAUUUUUUAUUUCUUCUAAAUCAAGCCCUAUCUCUGGUCAGUACGCUUAAGUUAAUUAUUUGCAAAAUUAUGUCAGAAUGGGCUUGUUAGUCUGGUUGUUAAGUGGAGCCUUGGGUGAUGGAGGUCAUGUGUUCAAUUCUCAGCGUUGGCGAGAAGGUAGAAUUUUGCUCUUAAUUUCUGCUAGAGUUGUGCUGAUGUUGGACUUCAAGUUGUCGGUGGUUAGUAGGAUUUGAAGGAGAAAAAUAAGGGUUUGGAUGUAAUGGGGAUUUGGUAGAACUCUUUGGUGCCCCAAAAUUCUCUCUGUAGAAAAAAAUAUUAUUGUUCUUCUCCUCUCUUUGCCGAAUUUUUCCUUUUCCUUUUUCAUUCUCCUCUUUGUCGUUUCUUUUUCUCCUCAUCGCUGCCAUAUUUUAUUUUUGAUCUUCUCUUCAGUCCGUCUCUUUCUUGUGCAACAUUGGUUUACGUUUUGAUUCGGUAAGAUGAGUAACAUAGUUUUAUUUUCAUUAUUAGCUUUUUAUUGAUGUGCGCUGUUAAAUGCUGAUUAGGGGAAGAUUUAGGGAUUUGUAAUCACUGUUUGGAGACAUAGGUUCGUUGAAUUCUGGUUACUUGAUAGAAGGUAAGGUUUUUGAAGGUUUUAGGUUGAACAUCUCAUUAUAGUUUCGUUUAAGUUCCAUUAGUAACAUUGAUUUUGGGCAAUAGAAUGUCGAUUUCUAGUUUCUGGAGUGUUCGUGGUUGCAUUAGCAUCGAAUCGAUACCAGGUGUGUACUCAAAAAUACAUAAAAUAGGGUUUCAGCGAAAGCUAAAAACCCCACUGUCGACGCCAUAAGGGCGUGUGGUCGCCCGUGUGGUGGGCCGUGUGCCAUUACACAGGUGUGUGAUCGACGAGGCCAGGUCGUGCGAGCAAGAAACGGCCGUGUGAUAGCCAGGUAGGCCGUGUGCGACACACGGGCUAGACUAAUUUGGGCCGUGUGGGCCCAUACAGGCAUGUGGGAUUUUAGGCCAGGUCGUCUGAUCCACACGGGCAAGCCACAUGGGUGUGUGAGCCCAUUAAUCUAAAAUGAUUCCUAUGAUUGUACGAGUCUACCAAGUCGACUGUGAACCUGUAGUAGGGUCGGUAAGCAUUACCUAGACCCCUAAAUAUAUGAUCUGAGUGUAUGUGAUGCAUGAUAAAUUAUGCAUGAUUACUGAUAUAUAUAUGUAUACGUAUGACUAAUGGUUCCAUAAAAGCAUGACAUAUUGUAUGUUUGCAUUGCAUUGGGCUGGGAUGAUGAUAUUUGGAGGAAGUGUAUUAAAAGGCUUUAAGCCUAUUUAUCUGGUAGCACAGCUGUAAUAUACUGAAUAUGUACCACAUUCAGUACUACUUGGAGUGUAGGGAUGGAUGGGUGUUUUAAACCCCGUAUGGAGUGUAGGGAUAGAUGAAGAUGGUAUGUAGAGACUGGUGGAUAGGACUCUGUUACUGAUUACUGUUUGCAUUACUAAUACUUUGAUGGGCUGAAGCUUUAAUGCAUAUCUGAUAUUGGACUAAAAUGGGCUAAGGCCCAAACUACUACUGUAAUUGAAAUGGGCUUAGGCCCAGAAUGCGUUUGACUGUUUAUUGUGUUUUCUGUGGGGAUUACACAUUGAGUUUACGUAAACUCACCCCUUUUUGUUUUAUCUGUAUAGGUAAUCCCCAGACUUGGGAGGAUUGGUGCGGCGGAGGACUCAAUGGUGACCACAUGACUACUAAACUGUUUAAAUUUCAUUUAAGGUUUUUACUUCCUAUUAUUUUUGGGGUAUUUUUGAUGUAAUGUGGACUGUUGCCUUUAUUUUGGACUUUAACUAUUUACAUGGACUUUUAAACUGCAAACCUUAAUGAAAACUCGGUUUAAGUAGUAAUAACUCUUUUUCUUAACGCGAAUGAGUUUCUUCA